CCGACCAGAGGCCACGGCCGACCUAUACAGCGACGGAAGGGCAGGAGCCGAGGCAAGAAGCGGCGUUGGAGAUGGAGGAUCGCCUCCGCAUCUUGGUUUCGUCGGGAUUUGCCGGCCGGCCGGAGGCCUCGGCUUGCAGGACGACAACGAGAUCGACGAGGAAGGGAGAGGUGGCGGGACGUGAAUCGGCGUGAGGUCGAGAGGGCAGGAGACCAUGGCGGUUUCCACACUUGCCCUGCACUGAUGUUGAUGGUGAAGCUGGAAAUGGUUGUCCCCUGAUUGGUGAGUUUGGAGGCGACGAUGGCCCGUGUUGCGCUGGAGAUGGAGGAUCCCCUACACAACUUAGUUUUAUUUAUCCACGUCAAGCUCACUCGUAAAGGAGAGAGGAGGUGGAGCAGCGUAGGGAGGAAGAGGUGAACCGGAAGAUCAUUUGUGGAUUGAUGUUCUGAAUUUGUGUAAUGGUUCUUUUUUUAUCUGGUCUACAAGGACGUGUGGCUCAUGGCGACACUGGAUCCAGUGGUCAGCAUGGUUAUCGCCGUCAGCGGUUCUCCUUGUCUUCAGUGUCAUAUGAGUGCAUUAAAAGGAUCAAGAAUUGGAUCAGUCAAACUAAUACUCAGAGUAACAUCAUUGUGGAAGAGAAGGGAGAAAAUUAAAGUUCUGCAUCAGCAAAUAUUUAUCGAGUCGGAGCACUUUCGAAAGAUCUUCAGAUGUUAGGCCUAUCAAGAAUAAUAUCUCAAUUAUCAAAGAUCUUUGAGAACUAAUACUUCAUCUAUAAUAGGAUCUCAAUAAUUGACCAUGGUUUGGCUUUUGGCUGGUAACAACGUCAGUGAGGUAGAUGUCCUUCACCCCUUUCUGAAGCUAAAGGUUCCAGACUUGUGCCACAACAAUCUCUGGGAUGAGGAGGAUGUAAAGAGGGAGAUGAAGCGGUAAGAUGAAUCAUGCGAGAGAAAGAAGGAGAGACCUCCAGCGAUACUAACGCGUGCAGGUGUUUCAGUAGCCACCUUGGCUCCACCUCUAGGAGCCAAGUCUCCACUUCCACACCACACCCUUGUAUCUUUAUUCAUCUCUGCCUCUUGAAUAAGUUUCCUGUAUGUCCGAUUCAUAAGAUCACCAUUCAUAAAUGUUGCAUCCAUUUUUGCUAGAAAACAGGCAUGGAAAUUUAUUCAUGGUGACCGCGCGGUGGCGGCCAUGAUCGAACCCUAGCAGCAGAAAAUACUUCUUCGUUUGCUGGUUUAAAUCAUCAAAGAUUAAAUCGUAUCUUUUGUAGUAAUAUUUGGAUCUGAGUAUUCUGAAUAUGCACAUCUGGUCAUGUGAGUACUCUGAAUACAUGCACAUUCCAUUAAGUGCUUUGUUCUUUAAAUUAGUGCAGAUUUUUAAAUAGCUUUCAAAACAAACCAUGGCGACAAGUGGAAUAUUUAUGCUCCAUCUAGCUGCUUGAGAUUUUGCAAUUGAGGUACCAACAUAUUAAGUAGAGAAAUUUCAUAUGUGUAUAGCCAUGAUCUCUACCCCAGCAGCAGAAAAAAACUUCACCGUUUGCUGGUUUAAAUCAUCCAAGAUUAAAUUGUAUCUUUCGUAGUAAUAUUUGGAGCUGAGUAUUCUGAAUAUGCACAUCUGGUCGAGUGACUACUCUGAAUAUGUGCACAUUCGAUUCACUGCUUUGUUCUUUAAAUUAGUGCAGAUUUUUAAAUAGCUUUCAAAAUAAACCAUGGUGAAAACUGGAAUAUUUAUGCUCCAUCUAGCUGUUUGCGAUUUUGCAAUUAAGGCAUGAAGCAAAACUUGAGCAAAGAAACACGUGCUACCAACUGAUCAAUGGCUUUGCCAACGCGGCGAUAAGAUGAACGAGCAGUUGCCUCUGGGUUUGUUGUGUGUUUGGUCUGACCUACUGAAGCAAUUCUCUGUUUUCUCUAAUUUCAACUAUUUCCUCUCAUGUGGUAGUUUCUGUCUGCGCGAGAAUUUGCUACCCUGCCGGUUAUUGAAACGUUUUGUAUGAGGUAAUAUUUUAAAUCAGCUACUCUCAGUGCAUGUUGCCGUUAUUAAAAACGUGGCCGGCUGGGCAUUCAAAACAUGUGUGAGCAAAUUAUCCCUAGGGAAAAGUAGUGUUGCCUAUAGAACCCCAAAUCUAUAUAUCGGAAUGAAUGCACCAAGGGAGCAAUGCGGAGGCAUGUAGCAACCUGAUGAUGGAGAAAUGUAAAAAAUUCAGUAGACAUGGUUCACAUGAGUUCAAAACAUUAUUUUCGUCAGGAGGUAUGAUAUUCACAGGAGCCUAUGAGGCGUUAUUACAUAUUUUCAGAGAUGAUCUACUGAAUGCCAUCUUUAAUAAUUCAUUACGUUGUCAGGUCACAAUGUUAGUAGCUGUGCUUGAAUUCGUGCUAUUCCACAAGACAUGUAACAGACAUUUCUGAUAGGUCAUCACUGUAGAUGUUGCCUAUUGUAUGCUUAAUAUCAUAUUGGUGUCAACAAUUGGUUUAA